rnacentral:rRNA from 1 species
GAUGAACGCUAGCUACAGGCUUAACACAUGCAAGUCGAGGGGCAGCAUGGUCUUAGCUUGCUAAGGCCGAUGGCGACCGGCGCACGGGUGAGUAACACGUAUCCAACCUGCCGUCUACUCUUGGACAGCCUUCUGAAAGGAAGAUUAAUACAAGAUGGCAUCAUGAGUCCGCAUGUUCACAUGAUUAAAGGUAUUCCGGUAGACGAUGGGGAUGCGUUCCAUUAGAUAGUAGGCGGGGUAACGGCCCACCUAGUCUUCGAUGGAUAGGGGUUCUGAGAGGAAGGUCCCCCACAUUGGAACUGAGACACGGUCCAAACUCCUACGGGAGGCAGCAGUGAGGAAUAUUGGUCAAUGGGCGAGAGCCUGAACCAGCCAAGUAGCGUGAAGGAUGACUGCCCUAUGGGUUGUAAACUUCUUUUAUAAAGGAAUAAAGUCGGGUAUGGAUACCCGUUUGCAUGUACUUUAUGAAUAAGGAUCGGCUAACUCCGUGCCAGCAGCCGCGGUAAUACGGAGGAUCCGAGCGUUAUCCGGAUUUAUUGGGUUUAAAGGGAGCGUAGAUGGAUGUUUAAGUCAGUUGUGAAAGUUUGCGGCUCAACCGUAAAAUUGCAGUUGAUACUGGAUAUCUUGAGUGCAGUUGAGGCAGGCGGAAUUCGUGGUGUAGCGGUGAAAUGCUUAGAUAUCACGAAGAACUCCGAUUGCGAAGGCAGCCUGCUAAGCUGCAACUGACAUUGAGGCUCGAAAGUGUGGGUAUCAAACAGGAUUAGAUACCCUGGUAGUCCACACGGUAAACGAUGAAUACUCGCUGUUUGCGAUAUACUGCAAGCGGCCAAGCGAAAGCGUUAAGUAUUCCACCUGGGGAGUACGCCGGCAACGGUGAAACUCAAAGGAAUUGACGGGGGCCCGCACAAGCGGAGGAACAUGUGGUUUAAUUCGAUGAUACGCGAGGAACCUUACCCGGGCUUAAAUUGCAGAUGAAUUACGGUGAAAGCCGUAAGCCGCAAGGCAUCUGUGAAGGUGCUGCAUGGUUGUCGUCAGCUCGUGCCGUGAGGUGCCGGCUUAAGUGCCAUAACGAGCGCAACCCUUGUUGUCAGUUACUAACAGGUUCCGCUGAGGACUCUGACAAGACUGCCAUCGUAAGAUGUGAGGAAGGUGGGGAUGACGUCAAAUCAGCACGGCCCUUACGUCCGGGGCUACACACGUGUUACAAUGGGGGGGUACAGAGGGCCGCUACCACGCGAGUGGAUGCCAAUCCCCAAAACCUCUCUCAGUUCGGACUGGAGUCUGCAACCCGACUCCACGAAGCUGGAUUCGCUAGUAAUCGCGCAUCAGCCACGGCGCGGUGAAUACGUUCCCGGGCCU